AGCGGAGAGAGUGUAGCUUGCUACCGAUCUUAGCGGCGGACGGGUGAGUAAAGCUUAGGAAUCUGCCUAUUAGUGGGGGACAACAUUUCGAAAGGAAUGCUAAUACCGCAUACGUCCUACGGGAGAAAGCAGGGGAUCUUCGGACCUUGCGCUAAUAGAUGAGCCUAAGUCGGAUUAGCUAGUUGGUGGGGUAAAGGCCUACCAAGGCGACGAUCUGUAGCGGGUCUGAGAGGAUGAUCCGCCACACUGGGACUGAGACACGGCCCAGACUCCUACGGGAGGCAGCAGUGGGGAAUAUUGGACAAUGGGCGCAAGCCUGAUCCAGCCAUGCCGCGUGUGUGAAGAAGGCCUUAUGGUUGUAAAGCACUUUAAGCGAGGAGGAGGCUACUUUAGUUAAUACCUUGAGAUAGUGGACGUUACUCGCAGAAUAAGCACCGGCUAACUCUGUGCCAGCAGCCGCGGUAAUACAGAGGGUGCAAGCGUUAAUCGGAUUUACUGGGCGUAAAGCGCGCGUAGGCGGCUAAUUAAGUCAAAUGUGAAAUCCCCGAGCUUAACUUGGGAAUUGCAUUCGAUACUGGUUAGCUAGAGUGUGGGAGAGGAUGGUAGAAUUCCAGGUGUAGCGGUGAAAUGCGUAGAGAUCUGGAGGAAUACCGAUGGCGAAGGCAGCCAUCUGGCCUAACACUGACGCUGAGGUGCGAAAGCAUGGGGAGCAAACAGGAUUAGAUACCCUGGUAGUCCAUGCCGUAAACGAUGUCUACUAGCCGUUGGGG
rnacentral:rRNA from 1 species